rnacentral:rRNA from 1 species
UACGUAGGGUCCGAGCGUUGUCCGGAAUUAUUGGGCGUAAAGAGCUCGUAGGCGGUCUGUCGCGUCUGCUGUGAAAACUCAGGGCUUAACCCUGAGCUUGCAGUGGGUACGGGCAGACUAGAGUGCGGUAGGGAGACUGGAAUUCCUGGUGUAGCGGUGAAAUGCGCAGAUAUCAGGAGGAACACCGGUGGCGAAGGCGGGUCUCUGGGCCGUAACUGACGCUGGAGGAGCGGAAAGCCGUGGGGAGCGAACACGG